rnacentral:rRNA from 1 species
UACGGAGGGGACUAGCGUUGUUCGGAAUUACUGGGCGUAAAGCGCACGUAGGCGGAUUUGUAAGUCAGGGGUGAAAUCCCUCAGCUCAACUGGGGAACUGCGUCUGAUACUAGAUGGCUCGAGUGCAGGAGAGGAACGCGGAAUUCCAGGUGUAGCGGUGAAAUGCGUAGAUAUCUGGAGGAACACCGGUGGCGAAGGCGGCGUCUGGACUGCAACUGACACUGAGGAAACGAAAGCCAGGGGAGCAAACGGG